UACGGAGGAUGCAAGCGUUAUCCGGAGUGAUUGGGCGUAAAGCGUCCGCAGGUGGCAGUUCAAGUCUGCUGUCAAAGACCGGGGCUUAACUUCGGAAAGGCAGUGGAAACUGAACAGCUAGAGUAUGGUAGGGGCAGAGGGAAUUCCUGGUGUAGCGGUGAAAUGCGUAGAGAUCAGGAAGAACAUCGGUGGCGAAGGCGCUCUGCUGGACCAUAACUGACACUCAGGGACGAAAGCUAGGGGAGCGAAUGGG
rnacentral:rRNA from 1 species